UGCAGGAGGGCUAGCCAAGGCCUGUCUGAUCAGUUUGUGGUGCAGACGGGUGUCAGUUUACAGGUAUCAACAUCUGCAAUUCAUACCCAGCCAGUUGACUGUACAAUGGUAUGAACUUACACAAAGGAUGGCAGUGGUGCAAAUAGAAAUGAGAAGUGACAACUGGAGGAUGCAAGGAAUUCAUUCAAGUAUUAUUA